GCGCCGCUGAAGCGAUUUGGAUGUCGUUAAUGCACGGGCUUGCUCAAACCCCGGUUCAGCACCUCCGUCGACGCGCUACACUCUGCCAGUCUGCAGGCGCACAAUGUUUCAAUGGCUCGCUAACGCUGAGCUUCGCGUCCAAGGAGUACCUGAGGCACCACUCCAACAUCCACCCGGGCUCCCAAGUGUCAGCAGUGUGAUCGCGGCUACGCCCAGAGGAACAUCAGCACCUCAAGAUUCACACAGGUCUCCCUCGCCCUCCUGGAUGGUCUUCUUGAUGCGCAGCAGCAGGGUAGUGUGCCAAUGGUCCAGGCGGGAGAUGGAGUCAAACUCCUUCACCUGGAACCUGGACAACACAACGAGCUUUGAGAGAGAUCUCUUUGGGAUCGUUCUUAAACCCCAGCCUACCACCUCCUCCUGAAUGGACCGGAUCCGGCAAAAUCCCAAACAGCAAUACAAAAUAUAACAUUAUAUUUACAAAAG
ensembl:lncRNA